rnacentral:tRNA from 1 species
UUAGAAUUAGUUAAAUAAUAACAUUAAAAUGUCAUUUUAAAAUUAUAUUUUAUUCUAAU